AAAUUGAAUUUGUAGUGAAGAUGCUGCAUUAUAAUUGUAAGACGAGAAGUCCCCAUGGAGCUUUACUGAAAACUUAAGAUUUUCUAUAAGUAGGACAGUUUUGUUGGGGCGACAGUUUUUUAAAAAGUAACGAAAAUGAACUAUGGUAAAAAGCUUCACUCUGAAAGAUUUUUAAGAGACAUUUUUUAGUGUGUUUUAUAUCCGUGUUUGAUGAAAAAUACAACAUU
rnacentral:rRNA from 1 species